rnacentral:rRNA from 1 species
CCUGGCUAGGACGAACGCUGGCGGCGUGCCUAAUACAUGCAAGUCGAACGGUCUUUCUAUGGAAGCUUGCUUCCACUGAGAAGAUAGUGGCGAACGGGUGAGUAACACGUGGGUAACCUGCCCAUAAGAGGGGGAUAACAUCCGGAAACGGGUGCUAAUACCGCAUAGUUUUCUUGAUCACAUGAUUGAGAAAGGAAAGACGGCCUUUGUGCUGUCGCUUAUGGAUGGACCCGCGGCGUAUUAGUUAGUUGGUGAGGUAACGGCUCACCAAGACGAUGAUACGUAGCCGACCUGAGAGGGUGAUCGGCCACAUUGGGACUGAGACACGGCCCAAACUCCUACGGGAGGCAGCAGUAGGGAAUCUUCCGCAAUGGACGAAAGUCUGACGGAGCAACGCCGCGUGAGUGAAGAAGGUUUUUUCGGAUCGUAAAACUCUGUUGUCAGAGAAGAACAAGUUGGAGAGUAACUGCUCCAGCCUUGACGGUAUCUGACCAGAAAGCCACGGCUAACUACGUGCCAGCAGCAGC